rnacentral:rRNA from 1 species
UACGUAGGGCGCGAGCGUUGUCCGGAAUUAUUGGGCGUAAAGAGCUCGUAGGCGGUUUGUCGCGUCGGUUGUGAAAACCCAAGGCUCAACCUUGGGCCUGCAAUCGAUACGGGCAGACUAGAGUACUGCAGGGGAGACUGGAAUUCCUGGUGUAGCGGUGGAAUGCGCAGAUAUCAGGAGGAACACCGGUGGCGAAGGCGGGUCUCUGGGCAGUAACUGACGCUGGAGGAGCGAAAGCCGUGGGGAGCGAACAGG